GAUGAACGCUGACAGAAUGCUUAACACAUGCAAGUCAACUGUGGCGGACGGGUGAGUAACGCGUAAAGAACUUGCCUCACAGCUAGGGACAACGUUAGGAAACGAAUGCUAAUACCUGAUACUGUGAGAGAGCUUUGCGUCCCAUUAGCUAGUUGGAGAGGUAACGGCUCACCAAGGCGAUGAUGGGUAGCCGGCCUGAGAGGGUGAUCGGCCACAAGGGGACUGGGACACGACCCUUACUGCAACGGGGGGCAGCAGUGAGGGUUAUUGGACAAUGGACCAAAGUCUGAUCCAGCAAUUCUGUUUGCACGAUGAAGUUUUCGGGAUGUAAAGUGCUUUCAGUUGGGAAGCGGUACCAACAGAAGAAGUGACGGCUAAAUACGUGCCAGCCGCCGCGGUAAUUC
rnacentral:rRNA from 1 species